GUAUUAGUUGGUGCAAAAGUAAUUGCAGUUUUUGUCAUUACUUUUAUAUGGCAAAAACCACAAUUACUUUUGCACCAACCUAAUACUAA
rnacentral:miRNA from 10 species